rnacentral:tRNA from 1 species
GUUUCCAAUAGCUCACUUGGAUAGAGCAACGGGCUGAAAACCCGUAGGUGGCAGGUUCGAUCCCUGCUUGGAGCACCA